AUUGAACGCUGGCGGAAUGCUUUACACAUGCAAGUCGAACGGCAGGCACGGGGCAACCUGGUGGCGAGUGGCGAACGGGUGAGUAAUACAUCGGAACGUGCCCAAUCGUGGGGGAUAACGUAGCGAAAGUUACGCUAAUACCGCAUACGAUCUACGGAUGAAAGCGGGGGAUCGCAAGACCUCGCGCGAGUGGAGCGGCCGAUGUCAGAUUAGGUAGUUGGUGGGGUAAAGGCUCACCAAGCCAACGAUCUGUAGCUGGUCUGAGAGGACGACCAGCCACACUGGAACUGAGACACGGUCCAGACUCCUACGGGAGGCAGCAGUGGGGAAUUUUGGACAAUGGGCGCAAGCCUGAUCCAGCCAUUCCGCGUGCAGGAUGAAGGCCUUCGGGUUGUAAACUGCUUUUGUACGGAACGAAACGGCGAGCUCUAAUACAGUUUGCUAAUGACGGUACCGUAAGAAUAAGCACCGGCUAACUACGUG
rnacentral:rRNA from 1 species